AGCUGCAGCCCCCAGCUGCAGCCACUGGCAACCUAAAGAACCACAGGCCUCCUGUGAGAGAGCAGAAUGGUGCAGGAGGCCAAGCCACAGAGCGUGGCUGGGGGACUGCAUGAGGCCAGCUCAGAGGGAGAGUAUUGGUGCCCUGGCACCUCCUCCACAUGGAACCAUGAGACAGGAGAAAGGCAUCCAGGGUUUUGAUCCACACUGUUGAGCAAUGGUGGGCUUGGUUAAUCUUUAAAAAGAAUCCUAAUAGAAGAGGACCAACAAUAAUUGCAUUAUGCUUCCGUGUGAAUAACUUCUUCAGAUUUGUUUGACAGAACAGAUUAGAGGAGCUCAAGGGAGCAGACAGAGAAAAAGCAUCUAAAGGAAACAAGCUCGGAAAGGCCAUCCCAUCGUAUUUUUAGAAGUACUCACAUGAACUCUAAACAACACCUUGAGAGUCAUGGCAAUGCCCCGGACGUUUUGUAUCUUCGCUGGGUGUGUGAUAUCUUCCUGCCUGCUGGCCCAGUGUCUGUUAAGGAAUUCUGCAGAUCCAGUGCCAGGCCGUGACAGGAGACUUGCUCUAAAACAAUCAUCAGCCAGGUGGAAACAACAUCAAAAAUAAUUCUGUUUGCUAAGAGCGUUGUUCACAGCACCUCACUCCAGAGCUCUUUUCCUCUGCAUCUUGGAGUUGUUUUCACAGAGCCCACUUGCUCACCUUAUACCCGACACCUCACAGGGCAUCAUGUCAGGUUGAGUGGUCUACCUGUAAGCCUUUCUAUGUUAGCAAGAACAUUUUAAAAAAAAACAAAAAAAUCCCUUUAUUGGUCUUUGAUUCUGUGCUCACCAAGUCUUUUAUCCCUCGAAGAAUUUACGUCUUGUAGAUCAAAUGUGAAGUGCAGGACAAAGGAAGACGUGUAUAUCAAGUAAGGAAACAUGCCGGACUCAGGUGCCACAGUGAGACCUUAUACAGCUGUAUAUACUUUUACCAUUUUCACAAAUCACAGGAAAUUUUAUCCUUAUAAAUGGAACUCCCAAGUCUUGUUUUUCUUUCACAACUGGAGGAAACUAGAAAAAGAAGGACUAUUUUUGCUUUGAGAUUGGAUUUAUUUUUGGCUUAUUUGUUGAUUUUGGGGCAUGUUACAAGCCCCUGUGGGGAGAGGAAAGUCCUGGAGUCAGCAGGACCAGGCUUUCCAUCCUGCCUCCGGCACCAACCAGGCGUGCACGGGGCGCCGCUUGACUUUCUGAUGGGCAGUUUCCUCAUCUGAAAAGCAGGGAGGAUAUCUACCUCCCAUGCUUGAUGUCUGCGUCCAGCACAUCCUGGGCAACAAGAAGCUUUAAAUCUGAAUUUAGGUUGCCUUUUUACAUACGUACCUGUAGGAAGAAAACGGACCCUGAGCCACUACACCAGAUUUUGUUUCUGCUGCUUCUUAGUUUUGAACAAGUUAACUCAGAAACAAAACCUUAGACCCAAAAGGAUUUUGAGGGAUUGUCCAGUCCAGCCCCCUUGACCUACAGAUGACAAACUGUGGUCCACAAAAACGAAGGGUUUUGUCUAAGACCAUGCAGCAAACAUUGACCAUAAACCAGGAGUCAUGGGGUGGCUGGGCCCAGGGUUUUCCAGCUUUACAGUCCUGCCUUUGGGAAAGGAACACAGCUUCAAUGGGAAGAUGUGUAUGGAUGUAGAUGUGUUAGGAUAUAAUCAUUUUUUGAGUGUUUACCUAAUUUGAUAUUCUGAGUGUCAGAAAAAGCUGGUUUAGAUCAAAAGAGGAAAACAGCAACUGUGACUAUUUCACCAGGAGAGAAUUACAAAGCAGAGAGCUUAGAGUUCAGAUAGAGCUCGGAAAACGGGGGCUUGGAGAAGAAUCUCAGCCUGUACUUACCCUGGACACACAGUGCUGGAGCUCCUGACUCCCCAUUUCUUCUCUCCGCAUCUUAGCUGCCUCACCUUGAUGGGAAACGGAAAGGCGCACAUACUAUAUGUUGUUGGAAAACUUCACAGUGGCCGGUACAGUGCUUAGUACCCCAUAAGGCUCUCUAGAUGCCUUCUAAAUUAUACGCCCAGUGAAAAACUGCUGCCCGAAUGUUCAGUACAGAGUGGGAUUUCCACACUGAACACACCUGUGUGAUCAGCACCCUGAUGCAGAAACAGAACAUUGGCAGCAUUCCAGGGCAUCCUGCCUGCCCUGCAGGGAGGAUUACCUCUAGCCUCACUCCCACAGCAUAGAUUAGCUUUCUUCUGGUUUUCUACUUUAGGUCCACAUGGAAUGAAACAGUACAUACUCAUUUAUGUCUGGCUUCUUUCGGGGGAAUAUUUUGAUGUCAGCUUAGAGUCACA
rnacentral:lncRNA from 1 species